UAAAAUAAUUAAGGGCACACAAAGGAUGCCUAGGUAGUAAGAGCCGAUGAAGGACGUGGUAAGCUGCGAUAAGCCUAGAUAAGUUGCAAUCGAACGUAAGAGUCUAGGAUUUCCGAAUGGAGCAAUCUAUUAAGAUGGAGUCUUAAUACGAAAGAGGGAACCGCGUGAACUGAAACAUCUAAGUAACGCGAGGAAAAGAAAGUAAAAACGAUACCCAAAGUAGCGGCGAGCGAACUGGGUCAAGCCUAAACCUUAAAUAUGUCAAGGAUACAGCCGUUGUAUUUAAGGGGUUGAGGGACUAAGUUGUGAAGAACUGUAAGAUAUUCAAUAUAGUGUAUUGAUGAAUUAGAAUUGUAUGGAAAGAUAAACCGUAGAAGGUGAGAGUCCUGUAUAAGUAAAUCCUUACACAUAUAACUUGGCUCCCAAGUAGCAUGGAACACGAGGAAUUCUGUGUGAAUCAGUGAGGACCAUAUCUCAUAAGGCUAAAUACUCUUACUAACCGAUAGCGCAUAGUACCGUGAGGGAAAGGUGAAAAGAACCCCUGGAGGGGAGUGAAAUAGAACCUGAAAUUGUGUGCUUACAAGCGGUCAGAGCCCAUUUGGGUGAUGGCGUGCCUUUUGGAGAAUGAUCCUGCGAGUUACGUUAAACGGCGAGGUUAAGUAUAACGGAGCCGAAGGGAAACCAAGUCUUAAUAGGGCGAUAUAGUCGUUUGGCGUAGACGCGAAACCUGGUGAUCUAAACCUGUCCAGGAUGAAGCUGUGGUAAGACACAGUGGAGGUCCUAACCCACCGCCGUUGAAAAGUUGGGGGAUGAGGUAGGUUUAGGGGUGAAAAGCCAAUCGAACCAGGAGAUAGCUCGUUCUCUCCGAAAUGCAUCUAGGUGCAGCCUUGAGUGUUCAAUUAUGGGGGUAGAGCACUGAAUGAUCUAGGGGGCAUAUUGCUUACUGAAAUCAAUCAAACUCCGAAUACCAUAAUUUAUAGCUCAGGAGUGAGACUAUGGGAGUUAACUUCCAUUGUCAAAAGGGAAACAACCCAGACCACCAGCUAAGGUCCCUAAUUAUAACUAAGUGGGAAAGGAGGUGGAGAUUCACAAACAACUAGGAGGUUGGCUUAGAAGCAGCCAUACCUUUAAAGAGUGCGUAAUAGCUCACUAGUCGAGAGUCUCUGCGCCGACAAUGUAACGGGGCUAAGUUAUAAACCGAAGCUGUGGAAUCCUCAUGGAUUGGUAGGAGAGCGUUCUGUAGGCCAUUGAAGAAGAAGGGUAACCAACUUUGGAGGUAUCAGAAGUGAGAAUGCAGGAAUAAGUAGCGAGAAAGGGGGCGAGAAUCCCCCUCGCCGGAAGACCAAGGUUUUCAGGGUAAAGCUUGUCUUCCCUGAGUAAGCCGGGACCUAAGCCCAGGCUAUAAUGCGUAGGCGAAUGGAAAACAGAUUAAUAUUUCUGUGCCAGUCAUAUAUUGUGAUGGAGGGACGCAGAAGGGUAUGCGCGCGGACGAACGGAAGUGUCCGUAGAAGUAUGUAGGAUGACUCGAUAGGAAAAUCCAUUGAGUUAUAUCUGAGGUAUGAUAUACAGUCGUAAGAUGAAUGUGCAAAUCCCACGCUGCCAAGAAAAGCUUCUAACGUUAAUAUAUGACUGCCCGUACUGUAAACCGACACAGGUGGUCAGGAUGAGAAAUCUAAGGCGGACAGGCUAACUCUCGUUAAGGAACUCUGCAAAAUAACCUCGUAACUUCGGGAGAAGAGGAGCCCUUGUGUGUGAGUAUACAUGCGAUACAAAGCGCACGAGGGUCGCAGUGAAGAGGCUCAAGCAACUGUUUAACAAAAACACAGGUCUAUGCUAAGCUGUAAGGCGAUGUAUAUGGGCUGACACCUGCCCAGUGCUGGAAGGUUAAGAGGAGGAGUGAGAGCUCCGAAUUGAAGCCCCAGUGAACGGCGGCCGUAACUAUAACGGUCCUAAGGUAGCGAAAUUCCUUGUC
rnacentral:rRNA from 1 species